ACUAGAGUUUUGCUCCUGGGACGGGACGUCCGAGAGGUCUGCUGGAGUUUGCUGGAGGUGCACUCCAGACCCUGUUUGCCUGGGUAUCACUAGCGGACGCUGCAAAACAACAAAGAUUGCUGCCUGUUCCUUCCUCUGGAAGCUUUGUCCCAGAGGGGCACUCACUAGAUGCCAGGCAGAGUUCUCCUGUAUGAGCUUUUGGUUCCAGAGGGCCAUAGUCUUCAUAUACUUCAGCACUCCAUGAAGGCUUUCUUGGUACUGUUCAAAGGCCAGAGGAUCUACUACCACAGAACCAUUCUAGAUGUGAGUUCCUAGUGUGAAAGGACUGGGAGUUAACAGAAGAGCCACAGUGAGAGUCUCCACCUGACUGCAUUGCUUCAUGGCACUGUGCUUUUGGACAUUUGAUAUCCUUCAGCUAGAAUAUAUUUCUUCAUUGUCCAUUCACAGGAGCCUUCCUUUCUUAAAGACUCAAU
rnacentral:lncRNA from 10 species